rnacentral:lncRNA from 1 species
UACUAGGGCAUAUAAAGUUUGCGUGUCCAAUGGCCCUCUCUUUCCAGUGAUGGCCAACUAGGCCAUCUUUUGAUACAUAUGCAGCUAGAGUCAAGAGCUCCGGGGUACUGGUUAGUUCAUAAUGUUGUUUCACCUAUAGGGUUGCAGAUCCCUUUAGCUCCUUGGGUACUUUCUCUAGCUCCUCCAUUGGGAGCCCUGUGAUCCAUCCACUAGCUGACUGUGAGCAUCCACUUCUGUAGAAAACAUGUUUUUAGAAAAAAAAAAAUGUCCUGAUGUGUUUGCUAGCCUUCGCUGGAUUUAUUUUCUUAUUUUCUGCUAAAACAAUGUCCUACUUAAUAUUAAAAUUUAUUAUUAAAAUUGUAUAUUUUAUAUAUUCUCUAUAUUUUAAAUAUAAAUAUAUAUUUAUAUUAUUAAAUUUUUAUAUUAAAACUUACUAUGAAAUAUUAAACUUAAUAUUAAAAAGGACCUCAACAUCUGGAUGUGAAGUAAUAUCAGGCAUAGAAGUAAUGCAGAUCGGGGAGCAGCUGUAAAAGUCAAUAAAGCUCUCUCUACGCUAACCAGGCUGCUGGCAGGCCAGAUGCCACUUGCAUCUAUGUUCAAAAGUGAUUUUUAUUGCACAUGGGCUCAUGUGCACAUGCAUAUAUGGGCCAAAAGUACACCCAUACAAAGGUGCAUGUCUGGAGGCCAGAGGCAAGCUGGAGAGGGUUGUUUUCUCCUCCUACCAUGGGGAUUCCAAGGAUUGAGCUUGCGUUGUCAAGCUUGAUGACAAAUGCCUUUCCACACUGAGCCAACUUGCCAGCCCAUUUUGUGUGUGUGUGUGUGUGUGUGUGUGUGUAUUUGGCAUAUACCAAAACAGUCUAUCAAAUGUAAAAAGAAAAAACAAUGUUACUGAUUACAUCAAUGCCAAAACUACAAAAUAUUUGAUAAUAAACAGGAAAAUGUUUUCUUAUGAAUAAGAUCAUAAAGUAUGAUUAAUUGACAGGAGAGUCUAGAUACCUUCUCAUGAAUACAAAAAUUAUAUCAUGUACAUAAUCAUUCACUUGAAUUACAAUUUCAAUGCAAAUCCAGUCAACAUUUCUAUAGAGGUUUUCAAUUGACUUAACAAGAUCCUCCUAGCCCGUAUGCAGUGAGGAGCUAAGAAACAUUUGAAUGGAAAUUACAAGAGGGAGUAGAAGCAGCAUACUGCAAGAUGCAUGAUAAUGCCAUUUUAAUGCAACUCAAGACUGUGGAAUUGGCUCAGAUAUAGACAGUAAGCAAAUACAAAGUGAUAAAGCAUCCAGAAAUGGACGCCUGUGGAGAUAUGAGCCAGAAAUAGCAUUGUAAAUCAUGAAAGAAAGGGCAGAGUAGUCAAUAGGCAGGGAGAGACAAUUGCUGAUGUAUAUAGGAAGACAGAUAGCUAAAUCCUACGUGAAAAUCAAUUUCAGAUACACUAUAAGCCUGAAUGUGGAAGAUCAUGCUUCAGAAUUCUAGAAUAUGCACACAGGUCACACCUAAAUAUCAAGGCAGAAAAGAAGUUAAGAAGUCACAAAAAGCAUAAACAAUAAAGGAAAAGAUUAAUGAGGCUUGCUACAUAACAGGCUGUGAAACUGCCUUAACUUUACCAAAAUCAUUUACAGAAACAGACACACAACAUCAUGGUUGAAACAACCUAGGAUUCUCCCUAGAUUUUCUCUGAACUUGAUUCUUGAAAGACUUGUCUCAAUUCUGUAGACUUUUCCUUUAUUGUCAAAGCUUGAUUUGUUGCUGUUCUACCCACAGUGAUGGAGAGGCUCAGCUUGUGACUGGUGUACAAGGGAAGUGAGAGAGAGAGAGAGAGAGAGAGAGAGAGAGAGAGAGAGAGAGAGAGAGAGAGAGAGAGAGAGAGAGGAAUCAAGCUGGGGGGAGGAGAGAGAGGGAAGAGAGAGGGGGACAAGUUUUGUCCUGUGUUCUGGUGGUAGAAACUACCUUCUGUGCCUCUGGAACCAAGUCAAGGAAACCAAACCACUGAGUUGUCAAUGUCUUGGAAAGUUGCUGCAUUAGCAACUAGAGCGCCAGGGUUCUGGUUCCCUGAGGGGACAUAAGGAGAUUCUUGAUCAGGUCUCUUGCUCUGCCUGAGUCUGGUUCUCUUAAACUCUAAAACAGCCUCGAUGCAUUGAAUUUUGAUUGUUUCUAGUUCUAUAUGAAAAGACAGAUGAUUUGUAAACAAGGCCCACAUUACUUUUGCAAUGACAGUGAAGGAUGGGUGAACUGGUUGGCCCUGCUGCCAUUUAACAGUUGUAAAGUUUAAGGAGGAAUGGUCAAGAUCUCAAUGUAUGGAAACAAAUGAAAGAUGGUCUUGAAGCAAGAAGUACCUCUUCUCUAACUUGCAAACCUUUAGCUUUUGCCAAUUACAGGAAUGCGGAAUCUCAGUAGAGCUCUGCAGAAAGGAUCCGAUUAAUUUAGGGAAAGUACUAUUAAAAAACAGCGUGCUUUUGCCCUGUGUCUAGUAUGAGCAAAGCCAGAAAAAAUAUGUUCUAUAGAGUAUGGUAGGGCCUUGGAGAAUGGAAACACUGCCUUCAAAGUUCUUUAAUGAAAGCUGAGAUAAACACAGAAUUAAAAAACAUAUCAUCUUGGUUCUAAGUGGAUGAAUAAACAGAAAGAUUGAAUUUACCAUUUCUUUCUGAGACAUAAACUUUAAUGACAAUAUUUUGGAAGAUGCCAGAAAGAUCCAGGAACAUAUACAAAAGGGCCCCUAGAAAUGAAGACUUAAGUGAUGGUCCUCUUCUUUCUCUGAAGGACUGAAGAUAUAGAAGUUUGCUUCAGUAGCCCAUAGUUCCCUAAACAAAAAUCCAGAGGAAAGAGCUAUGAAACCCCAGUAAUGGAACCAUCAAAGGGAGAAGAGCCAUCUACUGCCUUAGGUAAAGAGAAGUUGCUCUUGGAGCAGAGCAGGAACUGUGGCUAACUCCUAGUCCUGCUGUGACUUGAUGUGUCAGGGUGGGUUGGUAUCCAGGAGGACCUCCCCCUUCUCAGAGGAGAAGGAGAGAGAGGAUGGGAGGAGAAGGGGCCUGCAAUCAAGAUGCAAUGUGAAUAAAUAAAUUCAUUAAUGG